GAAUCUCUGUAUAUCAAGUCUGAACGUGUGAACUUCAGUCAGUCUGAAGUGCUGAGAGUAGAAAGCACGGUUGAAUCCAUAGGACUCAGCUUUCUCAUCAUAUCUGUGGGUCUCAGAAAGAAGUCAAGAGAAGUCCAUAUCUUUACAACUUGGAACACUUACACCUUUUGCCCAGCAUCUGCCUCAGCCAUCUGCUGGUCCUCGUCCAGGGAAGCACCCCUGGUCUCCUGGUCUGUGAAGAGAAGAGCAAC